rnacentral:lncRNA from 1 species
CGAUUGUGGGUGUUAGGCGUUCAAGGCAUUAAAAUCAUUAAUAGUAGAAAUGUGGUUUUCAAUGAAUCCGAAAUGCCAUGCCUAAAGAACAAAAUUGAUAAUACGAAAGAGCAAAUCAACGAGACUACUUCACGGAAUCAGGUGAAGCUAACAAGGGUAAAUCCCACUCAACAUGAAAAUAUUGAUGAGGGUGUUCAACAAUCUGAUGAAAAUGUUGUUGACACGGAUGAAGGUGAAGUAGGUCCGAGUGAAGUCGAAACUGAAAUUGAAAAUCCAAAUGUUCCACUAUUGAAACAAGUGCUCAAGAUUAUCAAUUGGUGAGAGAUUGGGAAAGAAGGUAAAUUAAACCAAAUCCAAGAUAUGAAAUAAAUAAUUUGACCGACUUUACCCUUAUCUUAGGUGAAUCUUUAGAGUAUUCAGAACCUUCAUCAUAUAAAGAGGCUAUGAAUAGCUCUAACUCUAAAAAUUGGAAAGAUGCAAUGAAAGAAGAAAUGAAAUAUUUACUUGAAAACAACACGUGGGAAUUAGUAAAGAAACCCAAAAAUCAAAGAGUUGUUCAAUGUAAAUGGAUUUUCAAACUAAAAGAAGGGAUUGUGUCAUCUGACCCUUUGAGAUAUAAAGCGAGGCUAGUAGCCAAAGGAUUUACUCAAAAAGAGGGUGUUGACUACAAUGAGAUCUUCUCACCGGUUGUCAAAUAUAAGACCAUAAGGUUGGUGCUUGCACUAGUUGUUCAAUUCAAUUGGGAACUCGAACAAUUAGAUGUCAAGACGGCCUUCUUACAGGGUGAAUUAGAUGAGGAGAUCUAUAUGAAUCAACCUCAAGGGUUUGAGGUGAAGGAGAAGGGAGAUUAUGUGUGCAAGUUGCAAAAAUCAUUGUAUGGGCUCAAACAAAGUCCAAGGCAAUUGUACAUUAGGUUUGACACAUAUGUGUUGAAGACUGGUUUC